UGCCGAGCCCAGCAGGUAGGUCUGUAAGCACUGAGGCUGCCAGGAUGAAAGGCAUUUGCUACAUCUACUCAGAGGGUCGUCAAUGGACAACCUGUACAAGAUUUAUGCUUUAAAUAAUAAAUGAACUAAACACCUUGAGGUAAUUGGCUGUGUGAAGCUUCACAAUAGCCCAGAUAGCUUGUCUGAAAAAAGCCAAAGAAGACUGAAUAAUGGAUGCGGGGCGUGGGGGAUUUGUGCCAAGCCAACACUGCACAGCUCCUUUUUAAACAAGAGUGGUCUGGGACUCCAGUUUCCAGGAUCCUAAGAAGUGCUGACCAGACUUUCUCUUUCUGUGUCCACAGUAAUGACUUCAAACGUUCUUACUUUUUCAUGAUUUCCAAUGGAUGCUGGCACGUGACAGCCAGUUCUUUUAGCUUAAUAUGUGGCCCGCUGGGUGAUGCAAUCUUGUCCAAAGUCUACAGCAUACUCAAUUCUACCUGCACUUUAUAAAGAUAAGAAAGACCAGCAUCUGAGAUGUCUGGGGGUGGGUACCUCUGAUGCAGUACAGAUUUAGUAGCAACUGCCACCAUGAGGACUAACUGAUGGCCUGUCAACCAGCAUUCAAGACAUGUCCACUGCAGGAUUCUGUAAGCAGAGAGCCCCUUCCUGUGAGAAAAGCACAUCAAGAUAUUCAUAUGAACAAAUUAUGGCAGCUUGGUGGAAAAUUUAAAUGGGGAAGAGAUGAAGGCCAGAGUCCGGCAUGAGAUUGCUGGAUGCAAACACAAGCAGACGGACUCCUUCAGGCCACAGAGGCACUGUCUGAAGCACAAAUGUACACAGCAAAGAGAUGGACACAGGGACAACUUAGAGGCAACAUUCGAAUCCCUGGCGUUCACGGCCUUUGCACCACCUGCUAACACACAUAACUGCAGGACAGCCAUGGUUUGAGAAAUGCCGAACACUGAGAAACUGAGCCCUGAAGAAAGGACCUACAAGGACGAGCUGAUGACCAAUGGAGAAGGAAAAGUCUCCUUUUCAACCAGUCUACACAACACGCUUUCACUAGUCACUACUCACUUCAGCUAGGGCAUUUUUAUAGCCAGUCCUGACGGCCUCCCUCAUCGCAUCCCCCACUCUCAGGACACCUCCAGUUUCUUCUGUGGCCUUCACUGUUUCAUCCCACAGGAGGAAAGGGGGAAACAUGUCUGCUCCCCUUUUCAAAGAAUUUUUUGUUUGUCUUUUUUUUUUUACAACUGAAUUUCCAAUGCAUUUGUGAUCUAAGAAUUAGAAUCCUGAUGGGAAAAGCAAACAAAAUUGAAGUAUGAAAAGGGAAAUGACACAGUGGAGGAUGCAUGAAUUCAAUAAAUAAAUGCAAUGCAAAUGAGAGAAUUCACAAGACAGGGAUGCAUACUGCCAACCCCAGCACUCCAGGAAAGACCAAAGAUGCUCCAGCCGGGCAUUGAGAAGAAAGGAUCACACACUGCAGCAAUGCUCACCAACUAGUCUUCCCCAGAAACAGACAAAUGACCUAAAAAUCCUAUCGUCGUUGUUGUUGUUUCUCCCUUUACAUACUGCUGAAAUCAUCUUCUGUCCCCUCACUUCCUGUCAACAGGAGUGCAAUCCAUUUCCUAAUACAAGAGUGAUGUAUUAGCCACCUGAGUUUCAAACCUGCUUUUCCUCAUUUUCAGGGGAAAUUUAUGUCGUGAUAUGCCACACUUAUUUUGAUAUAACUUACUGUGCAGAAGUGGUGUUUCUGUGAAUUAAAACCAAAGCACUGAGCCACACCACCUCCACGAGUGGAGGGAGUGCACUUUAUCACAGCCCUACUGAGAAACGUUUUAAUAUAUAUUCAGAAUGGGGAGCACCACGGUAAUCAUCCAGAAGGAGCACUGACAGCAGACAACGUGCAAAAUGCCCUGAAAAAAACUGAAAAUCACUUAAACUCUGUUACACAUCUUUCUGAAAAGAAAGGCAAUCAUGCAGGCAGAAUAUCCUCAGGCUGGAAGACCGAAUGCAGGGGCACACACAACCAGAGAAUCUACUCAGUGCUGUCCGGGAGAUACCUAUAAGGAUGGAAGCUCACUGCCGUGACUACGAACACUGCUGGUUACAGCCAUCACCAGCCCUACAUGGGCACUGAGCGUUUCACAUGUGGUCAGGGCAACAGAUGGAAUCUAUCCUCGAUGUGAUCUCAUUUUGCUAAUUUAACUGUACACAGUCACACGAUGCUAGUGGUUACCAUGUUGCACUGUGCAGCACUACAAAGAGUCUGUUACCAGAACAAAAGAGCAAAGUCAGACAAAUCAUGAAGAAAUAGUCUAGAUAUUCGAUUCCUCAACGAGGUCACAGGCUCAGUGUUUAUAAUAAUUCAAGUAUCCUCUUCUUAAUACCAGCCCACAUCUCCAGUCAUUCAAUUUACAUACCCUAGUGAUAUGCUAUCAAGGAUGAUGGGCAGAGGAAAGUAAGCGGUGCUGUGAGCCCAAUUGUGGCAGCAUGCUCUACAAUCCCAGAGCUGAGAAACAGACAGGCAGAUAUCUGGGCUUGCUGACUAGACAGCCAAGCCUAUUGAGAAAGUUCCAGCCCAGUGAAAGACCCCAUCCCCAAACAGGACAAUAACACCUGAGGAAUAACAGCCAAAGUUACCUCACACAACUGUACACCUGCAUGCACACACGCACCCAGCACACACACACACAUGCAAGAACUCUAACAUCCUGUCACUGUAUGUCUAGCUGUAUUUUACUGUUAUACAGGCUUGACAAGCCACGAGGAGUAAUUAUUCUCUACUCUUCCUAGAGAGAUUCUUAAGAUGACCCUCACAGGCUCAACUGAGAGCUAUCACUCACUCAGAUACCUGCUUUCCAGGUACAACCACCGAAAUGCCAAGAGGAAAUUAAUAAUAAGUCCAAGGAAAUCUGAGGACCAGAAAACUUGUUACUCAGAUAAACUUUUGGAACCCACAACUAAAAUAUUCUUUACACACCAUUGAGAAUGGUAGCCAAAACUUUUCUUUUAAUUGACAAAGUCCCUUUUGUAAUACAUGUAGUUCUUCUGCUUCUUUUGUCUAAUACCAAGACAGACUAUUCUAAAGAACACCAUCCAGUAGCAGUAAACUUAGGGACUAAGAAACACAUAAAUCUGUAGCCCAGAAGUCCCUCACUUAAUUUUUGGCUGAACUAUAAAUUUUCAGGUAAGGUUAUACACACAUGAUCAUCUUUAUUUUAAUGAGAAGUAAGCUGGUUGAUCGUUAGAUUCUUGUCUCCUACCCCAGUUUCUAUGGCCACGCCUUCUUUCCAUGGCCACACCCUUUUCAUGGCCACCUUGAAUUAAAUAUCCUUCAAUUUUGAAAUGAUGGGAAAAUUAGUAGGAAACAGCAUUUAUAUAUACAUGCAAAUAUUUUUUCAUGUCUUCUUGAACAGAACAGAAAACACUCUUCAAGGAUGAACUUCUCAUUCUGAACUUACUGAAUAAAGUACACUUUCAACCAUGCUCCCUAACCAUAAAGAUGAAUAAAAACAAAUUAUGCUUAACUCUUGUGUAUGUCGUUACCUAUAUUCAAGAAGCAAUUGUGUGAAUAUAGUUUUGAUGUUCACAGAGUAGGCACUGUUGAGUAAGAGUGAUUACAAUGAGCUAGCCUCGUUCAUGGUGUUCAACGCCCAGAGCUAUGAUUGGAGAAACUAGAUAUGUCCAACAGUCAAUGAGAUAGGCAAACUAUUCUACCAUCUCUGAUGUUUUUAAAGAAGAAACAGCAGACCAAUGAUUAAAAACUCCUUUGUAACUAUCCAAUAAUGUUCAGACGGCCUCCCCAUUUUUCUAUCAAUACUAGCUAAUCCACAGAAGACUUCUGUACUCAAAGCGAGGCUCAGAUAUUUUGGCUAGUGCUAGAGUACUACAGAAGCUUCCUUUGAGAAAUAAUUCAUCAACAGUUUGUUACAUUUAGAACACAAAAACACUUUAGUUGUGUUGAUUUGCAAAGCAUACCAUAGAACUGAAAGUCAUGCUUCAGGUCAUGGUCAAAUGUAGCUGCCAAGUGCCACCAUUUCUUGUGGUCCAGAGACAGAUCUAUUAAGUCAUCACUGGUAUCAAAUUUAAGUUUACUAUUAAAUGUGUUUACCUUUUAGGUCCUGGGGUAGUUAAUAUGUAUAACACGAAAGAAGAAAUUUUUUAAUUAAUGUUGUAAUUUCUCACUAACCUUGAUACCACUAAAUGUUCAAUAGCCAAACCUGGUUGAUGUGAAUAUGAAACUAUUUUUACUCAUCCCAAUAUAUGUUGAGUUGAAAUUUGUGCUUCAUUUAAAAUGGCACCAAUCAGAUGUCCCUAAAAUCCAACAGAUACAUAAAUACUCAUUCAUCAUUAUUUUUGCUUAAAAGAAUAGUAAUCUGGGUUGAUGGAGAUGAUAGCAAAACCUUUUCAGAGAUAAGCUGUCAAAUAAAUGAUUCCAUUUGCUUCAAAUUCCUCAAAAGUUACCAAAGGCUACAUCAGUCACACAGGAACCUUACAUAUCUGAGAUGCCUGGAUGGAGAUUCCCCCCCCCUAAUAGUCCAACCAUUCACCCUUAGUCAAUAAAAACAUUCAUUUUA